rnacentral:rRNA from 1 species
UACGGAGGAUCCAAGCGUUAUCCGGAUUCAUUGGGUUUAAAGGGUGCGUAGGCGGAAUGAUAAGUCAGUGGUGAAAGCCUGCAGCUUAACUGCAGAACUGCCAUUGAUACUGUCAAUCUUGAGUACAUUUUGAUGUGGGCGGAAUGUGUCAUGUAGCGGUGAAAUGCUUAGAUAUGACAUAGAACACCAAUUGCGAAGGCAGCUCACUACCCAGAUAUUGACACUGAGGCACGAAAAGCGUGGGGAUCAAACAGG